rnacentral:rRNA from 1 species
GUGCCAGCCGCCGCGGUAAUACGUAGGUGGCAAGCGUUGUCCGGAUUUAUUGGGCGUAAAGCGCGCGCAGGCGGUUUCUUAAGUCUGAUGUGAAAGCCCACGGCUUAACCGUGGAGGGUCAUUGGAAACUGGGAGACUUGAGUGCAGAAGAGGAAAGUGGAAUUCCAAGUGUAGCGGUGAAAUGCGUAGAGAUUUGGAGGAACACCAGUGGCGAAGGCGACUUUCUGGUCUGCAACUGACGCUGAGGCGCGAAAGCAUGGGGAGCAAACAGGAUUAGAUACCCGAGUAGUCC